rnacentral:rRNA from 1 species
AGAGUUUGAUCCUGGCUCAGAUUGAACGCUGGCGGCAUGCCUUACACAUGCAAGUCGAGCGCGAAAGCGGGGCAACCCGCAAGUAGAGUGGCGAACGGGUGAGUAACACAUCGGAACGUGCCCAGUAGUGGGGGACAACCUCGAGAAAUCGAGGCUAAUACCGCAUACGACCCACGGGUGAAAGCGGGGGACCGCAAGGCCUCGCGCUAUUGGAGCGGCCGAUGUCCGAUUAGCUUGUUGGCGGGGUAAAAGCCCACCAAGGCGACGAUCGGUAGCUGGUCUGAGAGGACGACCAGCCACACUGGGACUGAGACACGGCCCAGACUCCUACGGGAGGCAGCAGUGGGGAAUUUUGGACAAUGGGGGCAACCCUGAUCCAGCCAUGCCGCGUGCGGGAAGAAGGCCUUCGGGUUGUAAACCGCUUUCGGCCGGAACGAAAUCGCACCCGUGAACAUU